GAUGAACGCUGGCGGCGUGCCUAAUACAUGCAAGUCGAGCGAACGGACGAGAAGCUUGCUUCUCUGAUGUUAGCGGCGGACGGGUGAGUAACACGUGGAUAACCUACCUAUAAGACUGGGAUAACUUCGGGAAACCGUAGCUAAUACCGGAUAAUAUUUUGAACCGCAUGGUUCAAAAGUGAAAGACGGUCUUGCUGUCACUUAUAGAUGGAUCCGCGCUGCAUUAGCUAGUUGGUAAGGUAACGGCUUACCAAGGCAACGAUGCAUAGCCGACCUGAGAGGGUGAUCGGCCACACUGGAACUGAGCCACGGUCCAGACUCCUACGGGAGGCAGCAGUAGGGAAUCUUCCGCAACGGGCGAAAGCCUGACGGAGCAACGCCGCGUGAGUGAUGAAGGUCUUCGGAUCGUAAAACUCUGUUAUUAGGGAAGAACAUAUGUGUAAGUAACUGUGCACAUCUUGACGGUACCUAAUCAGAAAGCCACGGCUAACUACGUG
rnacentral:rRNA from 1 species